CGGGGUGCAGCAGGCGCGAAAACUUUACAAUGCUGGCAACAGCGAUAAGGGGACCUCGAGUGCCAGGAUACAAUCUUGGCUGUCGCGAUGCCUAAAAAGCAUUGCAUAGCAAGGGCCGGGCAAGACCGGUGCCAGCCGCCGCGGUAACACCGGCGGCUCGAGUGGUAACCGCUAUUAUUGGGUCUAAAGGGUCUGUAGCCGGCCGGAUAAGUCUUUUGGGAAAUCCAGCUGCUUAACAGUUGGGCUUUCAGAAGAUACUGUUCGGCUCGAGACCGGGAGAGGUGAGAGGUACUUCAGGGGUAGGGGUGAAAUCUUGUAAUCCUUGAAGGACCACCAGUGGCGAAGGCGUCUCACCAGAACGGAUCUGACGGCAAGGGACGAAAGCUAGGGGCACGAACCGGAUUAGAUACCCGGGUAGUCCUAGCCGUAAACGAUACUCGCUAGGUGUCAGCCACGGUGCGACCGUGGUUGGUGCCGUAGGGAAGCCGUGAAGCGAGCCACCUGGGAAGUACGGCCGCAAGGCUGAAACUUAAAGGAAUUGGCGGGGGAGCACAAGGGCGAAUCGCG
rnacentral:rRNA from 1 species